rnacentral:rRNA from 1 species
AUUGAACGCUGGCGGAAUGCCUUACACAUGCAAGUCGAACGGCAGCACGGACUUCGGUCUGGUGGCGAGUGGCGAACGGGUGAGUAAUGUAUCGGAACGUGCCCAGUCGUGGAGGAUAACGUAGUGAAAAUUACGCUAAUACCGCAUACGAUCUAUGGAUGAAAGCGGGGGAUCGCAAGACCUCGCGCGAUUGGAGCGGCCGAUAUCAGAUUAGGUAGUUGGUGGGGUAAAGGCCCACCAAGCCAACGAUCUGUAGCUGGUCUGAGAGGACGACCAGCCACAGUGGAACUGAGACACGGUCCAGACUCCUACGGGAGGCAGCAGUAGGGAAUUUUGGACAAUGGGCGAAAGCCUGAUCCAGCCAUUCCGCGUGCAGGAUGAAGGCCCUCGGGUUGUAAACUGCUUUUGUACAGAACGAAAAGGUUUCUACUAAUACUAGGAGCUCAUGACGGUACUGUAAGAAUAAGCACCGGCUAACUACGUGCCAGCAGCCGCCGUAA